UACGGGGGGGGCAAGCGUUGUUCGGAAUUACUGGGCGUAAAGGGCGCGUAGGCGGCGGGGUAAGUCGGGUGUGAAAUCUCAGAGCUCAACUCUGAAAUGGCACUUGAUACUGCUCUGCUAGAGGACUGGAGAGGAGAUUGGAAUUCACGGUGUAGCAGUGAAAUGCGUAGAUAUCGUGAGGAAGACCGGUGGCGAAGGCGGAUCUCUGGACAGUUCCUGACGCUGAGGCGCGAAGGCCAGGGGAGCAAACGGG
rnacentral:rRNA from 1 species